AUAGUAGGGGUGUUAAUGGGAGUAAUCAGUAGUUUCGUGUGUCGAGUAAAGAGAGAGAAUGUUAAUUCAAUCCAUUGACCAUAAGUAAAUCAGGACAUUGUCCAAAGAUAACCGUGUCCCAGACCUUGAACUGCGAUUAUGGACUACACCCAGAAUAUUUACCACACCCUCACCUUGUGGGGAGAUUGAUUAACGCCCUUUUUUACACCCGAUUUUCUAGGUUAAACUAUAAUCACGGUUUAAAAAAACAUAAAGGAAUACAAGGUGAGCUAUGUUUCAUACAUUAACAUGAACAUAUCUUUCGUGUUUUUUUAAAAACUAAUCUUGUUUAUACCAUAAAAAGGUCAACGAGCAUGCACUCCUAGUGAAUUUAUCUCCACUUUCAGAUAGUUCGCUAUCUAAAUAUUGCACACGGAGCGUAGUUAAGCAAUAAAUGAAGUGAGGGAGAUAACCCUAUCUUCUAACAGUCACAAUCGACAAGAUAUUGUCUGAAAAUAUCAGACAAAAAAAAAGAAAUAAAUAAAUAACAGUUUAACUGAUAAAAAAAUGCUUACGGGAAAACAUCUUUCGCAAUUCUCUUAUAAAUUCUAUAUUAGUAAGAUACGUAGUAUACCGAUUAUUCGAGUAAACGUGUAUAGUGUUACUACUACACAACUCCUUGCACAACGUGUCACUCGGGACGUGCUACCUUCGUCACGUUUGAUCCUCGCUUGACCCACUAACCUCGUCAGCUUGGUCAAAAAUUUCAAAGAAAACAGCCUGAUUUACAUGUUCUGUACGUAAAUUUUUGCCAGUACACAAUUCUUAUCUGGAUAAUUCCAUCCGUAUACAACUUAUGGUGUCGGUCGAGUGUGAUAACCUUCUCACCCCAACUUCGAAUCUCAGGAUGUUUACGAGGAUGUUUAAAACACUUUUUCGGUAUCUUCCACUCGUGCAAACAGGAAGUCAAACGGGACCGGAAAUGCGAUUACUUAUCCGACCGCUAAAAGAAGUUUUUCGAAAACAGAA